rnacentral:lncRNA from 1 species
GUGUCAUCGGUAUAAAUAAACUAAUAUAUUUCUCCACAAUCCAACAUUUCACGAACUUUAUUCUCAAUUGCAUGGGCCCUGGGCUCCUUCCCCUAAAUACUAGGAAAAUCACUGCUGUCAAACUCAUAAAUUGAAAAAAACUGACAACAACAUGGCUAAAAAUGAAAAAGACAAACAGACAAGCAAUAGUACACAUGACGCAACAU